rnacentral:rRNA from 1 species
CCUACGGGAGGCAGCAGUGAGGAAUAUUGGUCAAUGGGCGCGAGCCUGAACCAGCCAAGUAGCGUGAAGGAUGACUGCCCUACGGGUUGUAAACUUCUUUUAUAAAGGAAUAAAGUGAGCCACGUGUGCCCUUUUGUAUGUACCUUAUGAAUAAGGAUCGGCUAACUCCGUGCCAGCAGCCGCGGUAAUAAGGAGGAUCCGAGCGUUAUCCGGAUUUAUUGGGUUUAAAGGGGUCGUAGGUGGGUUGUUAAGUCAGUUGUGAAAGUUUGCGGCUUAAACGUAAAAUUGCAAUUGAAACUGGCAGUCUUGAGUACGGUUGAGGUAGGCGGAAUUCGUGGUGUAGCGGUGAAAUGCUUAGAUAUCACGAAGAACGCCGAUUGCGAAGGCAGCCUACUAGACUGCCACUGACAUUGAUGCUCGAAAGUGUGGGUAUCAAACAGGAUUAGAUACCCUUGUAGUC